AAUACCGUCCAAACUACAAAUAAUGAUGGCUAACUCUCAAUGAUAAGAAAUUAAGGCAGAAAUGGAUUUAACUAACAGUUGAGCACAUUAGAAGCACAGCACUCUCCUUUGCCAUGGGCCACAGCUGAUUGGUCUUCGUGGUUGAUCCUCUUAUAAACUCAGACUGAGCAUGCUUCUGAACUAGCUUUUCUGUGCCUCAGGUUUUAGAAUCCUUAGAUGUGAGGAUUAAAUAUACUGGUGCUUACAAAGUGCCAGGAGAGAGAGCGACAUGUGAGUAUAGCUAUUGCCAAUUACAACCAUACUAAAAAAUAAGUGAUGUCAAUAAAAAUCUAAUCAGAAUCACCCAGGAGAUCAUUGUGUUUUAUGAAGUCAUGAAAGAGGGAAGGAGAAUUCAGGGCAACCGGAAAUCAUUUUGGAUUGAAAUAACCCAAAUGUGAGUCACUGGAGGUCAGAGGUCAAUGCAUCAGAACACCUUUCAACCAUCAUCAGAGAAGCUCUUCCUUCCAGUAUAUGGAGAUUUACAUAUAUACUUCCAACUACGCAACAUGCAGAGAGUACAAGACUAUGGAGUACUCAUUCCUAAGUGGGACAUCUAGAUCACAUCUCUCCGUGCAAAGUUCUGGGAUCUUUGUGGAAGAGGGACAGAAGGAUUGUAAGAGCUUGCAGUGGCCAGUAACAUCAAGGAAAGAGUGAUUUCUAGAUACAACAAGAGUCUACAGGAGGCUCAGAUGUGGUCAGGAUUUCACACUUAACAUACCACAAUGGCUGAGGAAGCUGCUGCUGCGGCUGCCUGUGUGUAAUGGAAGGUAAGGUCAAUCCUCAAGGGACCCCAAAGAUCGCAUCCUCACCCACAAUGGCCAGCAUGAAGAAUUCACCAAGUUGCCAAAACCUGACACAACUGCCAGGCCCAUCCACUCUCCUUAGGGUUAGAUCUGACAGUGUGAAGUCUGUUGUCAAAUCGGUGGAGGCCCAUUUUCUUGAGAACCACCACAAACUGAUUGGACUACAAGGCUGAUGAUGAUAGGGGGAACGUGGAACCCUCUGUAAAACAGAGGGGCAGGAGAAACCCGAUUGAUGAUCUGUUGCAAAACAAAUAUCCUCUUUCACCCUCCAAAAAACUAGGGGAGAAAUUAAAGCAUAUAAAAUAAACACUUUGGAUUUCUAGUAAAA